rnacentral:ncRNA from 2 species
CAUCAGUUUCAGGGCGGGGUGAGAGUCCCCACUGGCGGUAAGUGGCCGCACGCCGUGAGCCACGAGUCCGCGCACCGCGAUGAAAAGAGCGGUUGACCUGGUGAGAGUCCAGGACCAACGGUCAUAGUCCGGAUGAGAGAAACGGAGG